GCACAAGCGGUGGAGCAUGUGGUUUAAUUCGACGCAACGCGAAGAACCUUACCUGGGUUUGACAUGUGCAGGAUCGGUGAUGAAAGUCACUCUCCCUUCGGGGCCUGUGCACAGGUGCUGCAUGGCUGUCGUCAGCUCGUGUCGUGAGAUGUUGGGUUAAGUCCCGCAACGAGCGCAACCCUUGCCCUCUGUUGCUACCGGGUCAUGCCGGGCACUCUGGGGGGACUGCCCCGGUGAACGGGGAGGAAGGUGGGGAUGACGUCAAGUCCUCAUGGCCUUUAUGUCCAGGGCUACACACGUGCUACAAUGGUCAGGACAAUGGGUCGCUCCCGCGUAAGCGGUUGCCAAUCUCAAAAACCUGGCCCUAGUUCGGAUGGUCGGCUGCAACUCGCCGGCCUGAAGCUGGAAUCGCUAGUAAUCGGAGAUCAGCACGCUCCGGUGAAUACGUUCCCGGGC
rnacentral:rRNA from 1 species